CAACCUUACAACAAAAGAGAAAAAGAUAUUAAAAACAUAUAAAACAUAUGCCGAUCAAUCACAGUAUUAAAACCACCUGCCUCAUAUCGUGUAAGACCCCCUCGUGCUGCCAAAGCAGCUCUAAUGUGUCGAGGCAUGGAUUCCACAAGACCUCUAAAUGUGUCCUCUGGUAUAUGGCACCAAGACAUUCGCAACAGAUCUUUUUGGAACACUUUAGACACCUAAACAACAUCAUCUACUCUGGGUGCACUGUCCAUUUUCCCUUUACCCUGCAAUUUAAAACAAUGCCUCAUUUGGCAGUCUACCAGAUAUAUACCCACACUCACUCCCAUGGAGUAUUGGGGCACCCUCAGGGCACUAUAGUGCCAGGAAAACAAGUAUGUUUUCCUGGCACUAUAGUGGUCCUUUAACACAAAUUUAUACAUAAACGCAG